rnacentral:rRNA from 1 species
UACAGAGGGUGCGAGCGUUGUCCGGAAUCACUGGGCGUAAAGGGCGCGUAGGCGGCUUUUCAAGCGUGCGGUGAAAGCUCGGGGCUUAACUCCGAGUCUGCCGUGCGAACUGGGAGGCUUGAGUCUGGUAGAGGUCGAUGGAAUUCCGGGUGUAGCGGUGGAAUGCGUAGAGAUCCGGAAGAACAUCGGUGGCGAAGGCGGCCUGCUGGGCUGUUGCUGACGCUGAGGCGCGACAGCGUGGGGAGCAAACAGG